rnacentral:rRNA from 1 species
CGCACGUAUGACCCGUCAUGUUCAGAACAUUUC